rnacentral:lncRNA from 1 species
GGUUCAGUUAGGGGCGUAACAGAAGUUAUAGAUUGAGGGAGUUAACUUUUUGAAUUCAAUUUUCAACUCUUCCUUCCAUAUUUCAUUUUCAUGCAAAUCGGGUCGGGUCAACCACAUGGGCGACCCCUUUUCUUCCAACAUGGGCAAUUGUACGAAAAUGUCAUUUCCUUUUUCCUCUUUCCACGUUUCUAUAAAGUCAAAGCAAGAACUUUAGGGUCAAGGAUUUUGAUCAAGAAUUAGUGUGCUGC